UGGGGAAUAUUGCACAAUGGGCGCAAGCCUGAUGCAGCCAUGCCGCGUGUGUGAAGAAGGCCUUCGGGUUGUAAAGCACUUUCAGCGGGGAGGAAGGCGUUAAGGUUAAUAACCUUGGCGAUUGACGUUACCCGCAGAAGAAGCACCGGCUAACUCCGUGCCAGCAGCCGCGGUAAUACGGAGGGUGCAAGCGUUAAUCGGAAUUACUGGGCGUAAAGCGCACGCAGGCGGUUUGUUAAGUCAGAUGUGAAAUCCUCGGGCUCAACCUGGGAACUGCAUCUGAUACUGGCAAGCUUGAGUAUCGUAGAGGGGGGUAGAAUUCCAGGUGUAGCGGUGAAAUGCGUAGAGAUCUGGAGGAAUACCGGUGGCGAAGGCGGCCCCCUGGACAAAGACUGACGCUCAGGUGCGAAAGCGUGGGGAGCAAACAGG
rnacentral:rRNA from 1 species